CUCGGUUUUUAAAAUUUUUAUUUUCGCUGUGCAAGAAUGUUUUCGGAUCAUAUUUUUUUCAAAAGUGUGGGCAAGGGGCACCCUGGUGUGCUGAUGAAAGGCCUCUUAGUGGUCAGGUGAGGGCCCCUUUAGGUGUAGUGAGACUCCACAAUACUAAAAGCUUUAAUAGACACAAAAAUGGAGGAAGAUAAAAGUGCUUGAAGGGAUUGAGCCAUAGAGUCUUGCUCAAAGAGGAGACACGACCUUUUGAUCAAUUCCUACAAAUCGUG
rnacentral:lncRNA from 1 species